rnacentral:tRNA from 3 species
GCGGGAAUGGCUAAAUGGUUAAAGCGCUGCCUUGCCAAGGCAGAGAUUGAGGGUUCGAAUCCCUUUUCCCGCU